CAGAGACACCUCUGCCCCAGCCCAGAAGUGCAGGCCACUGAGCCCGACUGUCCCCUCUGGAGCUGUCCUCGCCCAGCACCCGUUUCUGCCUGGAGGAGUGAAGGAGGACCUGAGCUCUGUUCCUGACUGAUGGACGCCUGAGGUGGGCAGUGCAGGCCCCGGCUGGCAGCUGCCACCGACCAGGACCAGGCAGCGAGGGUUUCCUGGAGCCUUUGUGCAGAUGAAACUGAUCAGCAGCAGGGGGAAAAUAGCCGUUGCCUCGGCAACCAGCUGAUGACUCAUCCCGCUUUGAAGCCGCCGCCGCCCAAGCCAAAAGCCGGCAGGUUUUCUUCUCGCCUAUCCAACCUGAUCUCCGUCGUUUGUCUCAGGGAUCGACCACCAGCAGUUCCUCUGAAGAGAAAGUUACCCAGUGGGCCUCCCCUCGCUAAGAAGCCCUAUCUGCUGAGAAGCAAACAUUUCAAUUUUAAAGGUUAGAGUGAGGGGCCUGGGGUGAGCUCGGCAACAGAGGCCUUUCCUAGCAUGCACCAGGCCCUGAGCAUCAUCUCCAGCACACACACCAUCCAAGGAAAAAAGCAAAACAGCCCGGUGUGUAAACCUCACACCUACGGGGAGUCAGCUUGCGUUGCCUGUUCAUCAGAAGAAAAGAAGAUGAACUGUGAAGGGAACCAGGCUGAGGAGCAGUCUCGAGGGCACGCAGGACCUCACCACAGGGCCUCUGUGUGCCACCUUCGACAGCGGACACAGGACCUGCACAGAAAGCCUUGGCCCCUUGCGGGCUCGGAAAUGACCACCCAGAAAAGUCUCAGGAAACGUUGUCAUUGCAAAGUCGUGGUGUUUGAUAUUUCAUCUGUUUAUUUGUAGUGAUUAAAAAUAAAACCCAUCAUGUAAUAACAA
rnacentral:lncRNA from 1 species